UACAGAGGUGGCAAGCGUUGUUCGGAAUUACUGGGCGUAAAGGGCGCGUAGGCGGCCAUCUAAGUCAGACGUGAAAUCCCCCGGCUUAACCUGGGAACUGCGUCUGAUACUGGACGGCUUGAGUAUGGGAGAGGGAUGUAGAAUUCCAGGUGUAGCGGUGAAAUGCGUAGAUAUCUGGAGGAACACCGGUGGCGAAGGCGGCAUCCUGGACCGACACUGACGCUGAGGAGCGAAAGCCAGGGGAGCAAACGGG
rnacentral:rRNA from 1 species